rnacentral:rRNA from 1 species
GAUCAUGGCUCAGGAUGAACGCUAGCUACAGGCUUAACACAUGCAAGUCGAGGGGCAUCAUGGAGUUGCUUGCAAACUCUGAUGGCGACCGGCGCACGGGUGAGUAACGCGUAUCCAACCUUCCCUAUAGUAGAGGAUAGCCCGGCGAAAGUCGGAUUAAUACUCUAUGUUUUCCGUUGCAGACAUCUAAGAUGGAACAAAGGCUUGCCGCUAUAGGAUGGGGAUGCGUCUGAUUAGGUAGUCGGCGGGGUAACGGCCCACCGAGCCAUCGAUCAGUAGGGGUUCUGAGAGGAAGGUCCCCCACAUUGGAACUGAGACACGGUCCAAACUCCUACGGGAGGCAGCAGUGAGGAAUAUUGGUCAAUGGGCGAGAGCCUGAACCAGCCAAGUAGCGUGCAGGACGACGGCCCUAUGGGUUGUAAACUGCUUUUAUGCGGGGAUAAAGUUCACUACGUGUAGUGUUUUGUAGGUACCGCAUGAAUAAGGACCGGCUAAUUCCGUGCCAGCCGCAGC